rnacentral:tRNA from 1 species
GGAGAGGUGCCUGAGUGGUUGAAAGGGGCACCCUGCUAAGGUGUUGGGUCUUAACGGGCCUCGAGGGUUCGAAUCCCUCCCUCUCCGCCA